UAUAACUGAGCCUUGUUGCCUCUGUGCCUU
rnacentral:piRNA from 1 species